UACGUAGGGUGCAAGCGUUGUCCGGAAUUAUUGGGCGUAAAGAGCUCGUAGGCGGUCUGUCGCGUCGGCUGUGAAAACCUGGGGCUCAACUCCGGGCCUGCAGCCGAUACGGGCAGACUAGAAUUCGGUAGGGGAGACUGGAAUUCCUGGUGUAGCGGUGAAAUGCGUAGAUAUCAGGAGGAACACCGGUGGCGAAAGCGCUCAUCUGGCCCAAUACUGACGCUGAGGCGCGAAAGCCAGGGGAGCAAACGGG
rnacentral:rRNA from 1 species